rnacentral:snoRNA from 1 species
UUGCCGUGAUGACUAUCUUAGGACACCUUUGGAUUUACCAUGAAAACAAACACGAUAUUCUGAGCAAC